UUUGUUUAUUAGCUAACAACUAACAUUGUUACUUAUUUUAAACAUUUGGAUUGACCACAAAUGAAAGAAAUUUGGAUUAGCUUCCUUUAUGAAAUGCUCUAUUGAGUUCUGUGAAUUGGUGCAUAUUGUGUAACUAAAGUUUUAAGAGUACAGAUUUUGGACACAAAAUGUCUAUGGAUUCCAGCUUGAUAAUUUCAGCUAUAUAACUUUUGUAAUGUACAAAUCAAGCUCUUUACAAAUGGGAUAAUAAUUGUAUCUAACCCACCUAGAAUCGUUAUUACAGUAAAAUGAGUGAAUUUGUAUGUUUGUAAGAAAUAUAUUCUUAGUAGAUACUCUAAAAUAUGUGUAUAUUAAAAAUAAAAACAUUUUUAAAAUUUAAAUUAUUUUAAAAGCAUCUUUUGUAUAUUAUGUCUGAUAUGUAUUAAUGAGUUAAAUUAGUUAAUAUGCAAAGCCUAGAACAGUACUUGGCAUAUAAUAAAUACUGAGCAUUUGUCCUCAUUCUUGUUUUAAAUGGACUUUUCUAGCCCCCUUCUUCUGCACUUUAUUUAGGCUUGUUUUUCCAUAUCUGUAUGUAACUUCUCCACCGCGCUCGGCCAAUUAUUCCACAUUCUUUCUUCCCACACACAUUUCAUCACAAUUAGGCUAAUGCUGUCACCUCCAUGCAGGUAAAAUUCACAAGUAUGUCUCCAGUCCUGGUUCUAUCUUAUUACCGCAGCCUCUUCAUGAUCUGUCUCUGUCCUAGUUCUUAAUAUCUGCCCUACUUCUCUGGCCUUUAGCCUAGAACAGUAACACAUGAAGUUAACUUUCUCCAAAUCUCUGCUUUGAAAAAUAAUUUUAAUUUCCCAAACCUCUGAUUGCUUAUUGUCUUUGAAUAUAUGUGCAACUUUCUUAUUAAAGGAAGUUGGCCUUACCAAAGGCCCAUUGCAGUCUUAUUCUGAUUUAUCUGUUUUUUAACCUCUUAUUUUGGAGGAUUUCAAAUAUAAAUAGUGUAAUAAACUGUAAUGUACACAUUAUCAAUCAUGGCCAGUCUCGUUUUCAUCUAUAACCCUAUCCAUUCCCCCCUUGUAUUAUUUGAAACAUAUCUAGAUAUUAUCAUUUCAUCCAUAAAUACUUAAGUAUACAAUAUCUGAAAGCAAGUGACUCUU